rnacentral:rRNA from 1 species
UAGGGAAUCUUCGGCAAUGGGGGCAACCCUGACCGAGCAACGCCGCGUGAGUGAAGAAGGGUUUCGGCUCGUAAAGCUCUGUUGUUAAAGAAGAACACGUAUGAGAGUAACUGUUCAUACGUUGACGGUAUUUAACCAGAAAGUCACGGCUAACUACGUGCCGG